GAUGAACGCUGGCGGCGUGCCUAAUACAUGCAAGUCGAGCGAACAGACGAGGAGCUUGCUCCUCUGACGUUAGCGGCGGACGGGUGAGUAACACGUGGAUAACCUACCUAUAAGACUGGGAUAACUUCGGGAAACCGGAGCUAAUACCGGAUAAUAUAUUGAACCGCAUGGUUCAAUAGUGAAAGACGGUUUUGCUGUCACUUAUAGAUGGAUCCGCGCUGCAUUAGCUAGUUGGUAAGGUAACGGCUUACCAAGGCGACGAUGCGUAGCCGACCUGAGAGGGUGAUCGGCCACACUGGAACUGAGACACGGUCCAGACUCCUACGGGAGGCAGCAGUAGGGAAUCUUCCGCAAUGGGCGAAAGCCUGACGGAGCAACGCCGCGUGAGUGAUGAAGGUCUUCGGAUCGUAAAACUCUGUUAUUAGGGAAGAACAAAUGUGUAAGUAACUAUGCACGUCUUGACGGUACCUAAUCAGAAAGCCACGGCUAACCACGUG
rnacentral:rRNA from 1 species